CUUGACCGAGCCCAGGUACAGCGGCUCCGCCCGGUCCUGCCCGUAGGUGGCCAGCAGGGCCUGGGCCUC
rnacentral:antisense_RNA from 1 species